UAUAUCAAUUUUGUUCUGCAGAAUCGCAAAAAGGAUGAUACUGUAUCUAGUCACAUAAAGGAAUUAGAGAGCACCACUAAAGAUAAUAAUUUGAAACAAAAUAAUGAAAGUCCUGAAGAAGAAGUAGUGCAAGUAAAACAUGAUGGAGAACAAGAACAUAAUUCAGGUUUUACUAAAGAGCUGACAAAAACUGAUGAUUUUUUAUCAGAUACACAUGUUGUAUCUGACUCAAAAGAAGUGAAUAAUGAAGAGAAAGCAGAAAAGGAAAAGAAUAAUAAAGUGGAAGAAACACAUGAUGGUGAUAUAAGCUUGCAGAGUGUGACCACAGUUGGAAACCACAAACCCAAAACCAGUUCAGAAGAAAGUGAAGCAGUUAGUGUUCAAGAGCAAAAAGGAAUUAUUGCUUCAUUUGAAUUAGCAGCACAGUCUUCAAAAGGAAAUCAGGCAACAGCAGUGAAAAGUUUGCCUUCUUCACCAGAAUCGUCAUUGUCACCAGCUUCAUCUACACAACCACAGCUCACAGAAGGAUCACAUUUCAUGUGUGUAUAGUUACAGAGAACUCUAAUGGCUUCUGUUGAAACAAUUCAUGCCUGAGAUGUAUGGACCCGACCUACGGAAAUGUGAGAAGAUAUUGUACAGUAUAUUUUAAAUCUAUGAAAUUCAUAGUUCUGAUGCUUUUGGCCACAGAGCAUCAUUUUAUCACUUCCUGGAAAAUGUUUAUUCCAAGAGAGCUUUAAAUGGCCCAUAUGUACACUCAACAACCUUCAGAUUGUUCUCCUGAUACCAGCUUGCUGCUAUGAUUUCUGUGCACAUAAAAUUAAGGCUCUUCUCAGUGUGCAGCCUAUAGUCAGGACUUUAUUUUCCAGAAUUUAAUGUUCUUUUAAGUAUGGAUCACAUAAGUUUACUUUUUGGCUUCUUUUAGAUGCAUAACUCAGUUAAUUUUACAUAUCACCACUAAAACCCUGUUUUACACUUUUUAAACACUACAAUUUAUUGUUUUAACAUUUUAUUUGUAAAAAUUUUUAUAUAUAUAUAUACAUAUAGAUAUAUUUAAAAUGUGCCAUUUUUAUUAUUGCUUAGUAAAAGAUGUCCUGUUUCUGCUGUAAUUAUUCCUUGGUCAGGUUGCAAUGUCAGCAGUUACUGCCACACUUCUGUCAACAUAUACUUUAAUGUCAGUGCUUACUUUUACUUAAAUAAAAUGGAGUGUAGGUAUUUUGAGGUACUGGGCUUUUCCUUUGUUGGGUUAGAGUGUGUACAGCAAUAAGCAGGUUCUCAAUCCAGUACUUAGUUUGUGUACAAAUGUAAUUAUGUUCAUUGUAUAUAUAGUAUACAAUGAGCACAUGCGAUGUAAGUAAAGAAGCCACUUAUUGUUCAGAUAAGAAUGUUCAUAUCUCAUUUCUUUUAUAUCAUAUUAAAUAAAUGUCGAUGUUCUUAAGGACUGGUAUGGUUAGUAUUUCUUCCAGCAAGCAGAUGUCAUACAGCAUAUUCCACCUUUUGAUGUGGGGAGUGCAACAAUCUUAUCUCAUUGGCGACACCACCUGUCAACCAGAGUAGCAUGACAGACUCUUACGAUUCCAGUCUUCCUCUCCAGGAAAGAAUAAGGCUGCAACACACAACAAAAAGACAACAUGAGAUCGAGAUGCAAGAAAUACAGGUUCAGCUCCUGUCUCUCCCGGGCUUGUAUCGUGGUGUUGGAAUAAUCACUUAGUCAUUCUGUGUGCCUCCAUUUCCUGCCUGUUUAUUUGAGACGGAAUAGCCUGCCAUGCUGUGGUGUGGCAAGUAGUAAUUCAGUGUUUGGAAACGUCGAACACCACAUUCAGUGGGGUUAAGGAGAGAUGUAUGAUGAUUCCUUGAGGCUUUGACAUCUGCAAAGCAUCUUCCAGAAACCGAAAGAAAACCCAAGGCCAUUUGUCAAGUGUCAUCAUCCUACAGAUGUUGCUGGCUUCACUUCUCCUUCUUACGCAGCUGUCUGAAUUUGCCUGAGACAAGAGGUUUAGAGAAGAAUGAUGAAAAAUGAAAUGAUUUAAAGGGCAAGCUUUUGAAUCUAAGAUGUAAAGCCGAGAAACCUUUUAAAGAUUCAAGCAACCACUGUGUGCUUUGGUGCAUGUGCGUGCCAUAAGUAGUAAGGAAAGUUUCUUAAGAAGGCGACUGCCAGCUCUCAUUGUGCUCUUUUUAUCACAUAAAUCAUAGCCCAUUCAAGUUAAUCUUAAGGUACUAGAGACUAUAUAAUUCAGUGUGCUUUUCCAAAGACGAGUGCCUGAGAUUGACACAUGGUUUGAAAUUAACUCCUUAUCAUUACCACCUUGAGAAGGAGGUUGUGUUCACUGUACAUUUCUGCCUUCCCAUCUCUACUCUCAGUUCUUUCUGGGACUCUAUGCCACAGAGACACAGAGCACACUUUCUACUUGUUACUCUGCCUUUUUCUUUGAAAAGCAGAGAACUGGGAGGCAGAAAUUAGCAGUGGAGCUUGGAGGGUCAUAGCGAAAGAGAUGGCAGAAGGAAAAGAGAUGAAUCACGAUGCAGGAAGACAGCACGCAGCUUAAAGUUUGACCAAGUAGCCCUUCCUCUUUUUUUGGAACAAGAGCCCCAGAUUAGCACAUCCUUCCACCCAAAAUGCAGAGCAAAGAGGAGGAGUGUGAUUUUUAUAGCUCAGCCAGCUGAGAUUUAAGUUCAGUGGCAUCAUUGGAACACCUGGGGCAAAACAAAUACAACACACCCUGUUCCCUCCCUAACUCUUACACAGAGAGCUGUUCAGCUGUCAAGCUUUGCAAUCUCUUUCUGUCCUUGCUGCCAAAAAAAAGAUUUGCAACCAAUAAAGGAAAGAAUGACUAAGUGGUUUUUGGACAUUUGUAGAUCUUGUCUGUGUUUGAAGCAGCUGUCAGUUUGGUGUGUCUGCACAGUAUGUGCAGUUUAUGCUGAACUUGGGGGGCAUGGGAGAAUUUGUAAGUUUGCUGGUGUGUGACUGUUGGCAAAGAUGGCAAAACGUGAAUGAUGCAGGAAUGCAGUCAUGCUCACAGACUGUAACUUCACUUCCUGUGGGCACCUGCAGCGAAGACUUGCUAUUUCAUUGGGUGCUCUAUCUUUUUGUCUUAUGGAAAAGAACUAAUGGCUCUGUGUUCUCACAGAGCAUUUACUGUCUUUUACCUCAUCAGAAUAACUCAUCCCGGUGAUCGUACUCUGAGAUACAGAAAUAUCAGAAUACUGAUAUUGACAGCUUUCAAACAUCUAUUUUAAGUUUGUAUCUAGGAUAUUUUUAUAUUUCUGAUUGAUUGCUUUAUUGGCUAUUGCACUGACACUUGUAUAUACAGAACAUGUACUUUUUUUCAAAAGCAAGAGUCCUUAGGAAUAAUGCAACACAUUCUCUACAGAUGUUCAUGCUUUUCGGAACCAAUUACAUCUAUUUUCAUCUUCUGUUCACCAUUUGCACUGUUCCAAGACUACUAGAGAAUGUGAUUCUUUUCGCUCCCUCAAUAAAGUGACAUAACUCAAAAAGUUA